AGGCGGCGCCGCCGUCCCUCAGCCCCGUCCCUCAGCCGGCGCCGCUGCCGCCGCCUGCCCCGGACGGGCGGGUUUGAGAAAAAAAUCUGCCACUUUCCCAAAAAUCAGGUUUGUGAAAAAAACAGCGAGAGUCUAAAAAAGCAGCGGGGUCGGAAAAAUCCGAGUAAUUUCCCUCCAGUUCGGUAGAUUUGGGGAAAAAUCUCAGCAGCUUCCCCAUCUGGAAGAAAAGCGGCAAGUUGCUGAAAAAGCAGCAGGUUUUGCAAAGGAAACUCAGCAAGUUUCCGAAGAAGCGGUGGAUUUGCAAGAAAAAAAAACCCUCUUAAGUUCACGAAAAAGUAGUGUGUUUCCAAAGAAAAAUAAAGCCGAUCGCCAAACAGCCGCCGGCGAGCAAGCGUUAUCCCAGCAGUUUCACUGCCAGGCACUGAUAAACGAGUGCCGAAGGCCAUGGAUGCGCGGCACUGGAGGGGUCUCCGACCCGGGAAUCUUUCUGACUGCCCCAACGGUUCCCGCUGGGUGAUGGACGUGUUCAACGAAUGUGCCCAGGAUGGCCGGGACAUCGCCAGCGUCGUCCUGGGUCUGGUUUCCAUCUUCUGCUUUGCAGCUGCAUCUUUUCCACAGUUUUACCAAGCCUGCAAAACGGGCAUCAUGGACCAGGCUCUCUCCAUAUAUUUCCUGCUGGGAUGGCUGGGCGGAGACCUCCUAAACCUCAUCGGUUCCUUCCUGGCUGAUCAGUUGCCCCUGCAGGUUUACACAGCUGUUUACUAUGUGCUCGCAGACUUGGUGAUGCUGUCUCUCUACUGCUACUACAAAGUGAAGAACCAGGGCGGAGGAUUCGCCGGCCCGAUCAACGCAGCCUUCAUCUUCCUUUCCCUGGGGACAGUGUCGACCGUCCCCUUCCUGGGCAGAGGUGCUGCUGUGGUGCAGGACCCAGCAACGUUUAAAGGGAGGUCUCUGUUGUCCGCUCACAUGGAUGAGCUUGGGUCGAAGCCUUUCACCAGGAGCGAGAUCAUUGGCUUUACCAUCGGCUCCAUCUCCUCCGUGCUGUACCUGUGCUCCCGGGUCCCCCAGAUCCGCACUAACUACAAAAGGAAAUCCACCACCGGGGUCUCCUACUCCCUCUUUGCUCUGGUGAUGCUGGGGAACUCGCUCUAUGGCCUCAGCGUCCUCCUGAAGAACCCCGAGCCAGGGCAAGGCGAAGGCGACUACGUCCUGCACCACCUGCCCUGGCUGGUGGGCAGCCUGGGCGUCCUUUCCCUCGACGUGGUUAUCUCCUUCCAGUUCCUUGCUUACCGGAGAGGAAGACCUGGCACCCGCGAAGAGAGGGACGCUCUUCUCGGCGAGCAGGGUGACAGCCUGGAGAGCUGACGAAGGGAGCUGUCACGCAGCGAGAACAGGAUGCUGCAGGCGAUAAAACUGGCCUUAACCACCGCGCCACGCGGCCCCUCAUCCUGCUGGCUCCUGGGAGAAGAGGACUUGAGCCAGAGGGUGACAUUCGUGCUGCUGAGACACCGAGCCCAGCCAGGUGGCCGGGGCUGCUGCUGAGAGACCUUGUGCCUCUUUGAUACCAAUGAUGCUAUUGGGAUAAACAGGGAAUUAUGUGAUACCUCAAAAGGUCGCUCUUUGCUGCUCUUACGCCCCACUGCUGCACCCGCUCCCUUCUGCCUACCUGCUGUCUCAAGGGUGAUCUGGGGCUCCCCCGGUACUGGCAGGCCCGAGCAGAGCCUAAGGGGCUGCGGGGAGGUGACGGAGAUGACUGACCUGGCACAAAGACAAGCACCAUGUACCUCUGUGGCCUUGCGUCUCCACCACUGAGCUCCUUCUGGAAGGUACGGCAGUGGCUGGAACCACUUCAGAAGGAGGAAAGGAAAGGAGCAACGUAACCAGUGUUUCAGUCCACGCCGUACCUGUUCUAAUUAGCAUGGUUCACAUGUCUAUAAAACAAGUCCUUGCCCCAUGUGCCGCCUCUGGUUUUAUUUUGCUGGUUCAUCUGGCAGCUCAAGCCUCUUUCUUAAUGUGUUUCAUAGUCCCUCUUUCUCUGACUUCUCAUUUUUCUGCCUCACCCUUGUUUUAAUUGCAUGGGUUUCUUGGGGAAGUUGCUCCAUUGCUUUCUGUUUAGCUGUGGAGGUGGUUACCCAGGCAGAAGAUGCUGCCUCUGCUUGGUCUGGUUUUCAGCCCUUACCUCUCUCGUUGAUGAAUAUAUCCACAAUCUGAUGAAUUUAUCCCUGUUGCGGGGCCCCGUGUGCCAGCAGUGGCUCCUUGGCCAGGGAAGGACUGGAAGCCGCAGCGGUUUGGGAGAAGCCGCGUUCCCAGGAAGAGAGAUGCUUUCAGGCGGGCAGGGGAGAGCGGUGGUGUCGCGUGAGAUGUUGCCUCAGCCAGGGACCGCGGGCUCCCUCCCCUGCUGAGCUGUUUCUGCAGGGGAGCUGCAGCUCCAUCUCCCUGGGCGAGCCAGAGGAAAAUCACCCAAAGCUUGCAGGCCCGUCAGGAAAACCACACAACUUGUCCUUUUAAAAACAAGAAUUGUCCUUUGCCUGCAGUCACUGUUGGCACUUCUUUUCGCUCCUCUUAUCUCCCUCUGCAGCCACUUCUCUGAUGCCCAGCACUUCCCCACUGCCCACUCGUGCAGCACCCUGCUCCGUGCCCCUUUUGGCUUUAGCUUUAUCAUCACUAAUUUAUGAUUCCUCUGCCAGCCCUGUGACGUUUGUCCUUGUGAGGAAGUCGCCCUCCUCCCUACUUUGUCCCUGUGCCGGGGAAGCCAAGCCACAGCUCCAUGCCGACAUGGCUCAGCCUAGAUCUCAUGUGAAAUGGGAGUCGGAUGCCCAUCAAAUGGAUUAAUUAAAACAAGCUGUGCCAGUCUUUGGAGCUGACCCAUUUAUUUUUGGAAAGAAAAAAUAUUUUUCAGGCUCUUUGAGCCCCCUUGAAAGCAGCAGGUGGGUUUUUCACUGCAUUAAUUCACGAUUCUUCCCCUGCAGGCUCGCGGGCGAGGGGGCUGCUCGCCUCUUCCCUGUCCCCAAGCCAGCAGGAUUUCCUCUGCUGUCUUUCCCCAGGAAUUGCAGCAAAACAAUUCACGCCCGGUGCUAACACAGACCCCGAGCAGGCUGGCGUUAGCACAGCUUCGUCAGGCCUCGAUACCUGUUCAGUAGAGAUACGAAAGGAGUGGGGUUUGAACGUGGGUGCUGGGGAAUGCACGGCUGGUUACCGAGAGCGAGAGUGGGAUUUACCGAGCUGGCCUGAGGCGCGGGGUGGAACACGCUUUGGCUACCUACCGGCCACCAAGGGCUUUGCUUAGAGCUACACAGAGAAGGUCCAACAUGAAGAGCUAGGUGAGAUGGAGCAAGGCGAGCAGCUGCAUCUGGCAGACGGAGUCGAUAUGAGCAGCCGCGUCGGUGGUGGCGGCGGAUGGAAAUUCACGUCGCAGCGAGGCCCCCGUGGUGGCUCUCAUCCCUCCCCGGCUGUACUGCAGCCCCGGCCCCGGGGAGCCCGGCGCUGGAGGGCUGGCAGAGGCAAGGCUGAUGCUGAGGAGGCACGGAGCUGCAGGGCAGUGCAUGAACCGUCGGUUACGCUGCUUGGAGAAGCACAGGAGGAAUAAAGCGCAGCUGUAGCAGAGCCGCAUCGAUCCGGCAGCUUGCCCUGUCCCCAUGUACCCCAAGCCUAUACGUCACCUUCAGCUGCGGUGAGGGGCUCCCGCGCUCGGCUCCCGCACACAGCCAGCUUCACAGAAGGAAAACAAACCCCCGGAAAACUUAAGCGCACGACAGCUAGAGAUGGGUGAGAGAAACAGCUAAUCCUUUCUGAGCUUCAGGAGGCGGCACAAACUCAUCUCCGACUCCAAAAAAAUGUCCUUCCUUGGACAGAAACAAGAGAGGACGAUGACAAAACCCCAGCAUGUUCCCUGUGGGGGGCCCAGCCGCGAGGUAAGCGUGCGCCUUUCCCAGCGGCUCCCACGGGAGCUGCGUUACAGGCGGGGGGCUCUGGGUAAAUACUCCGGCACGGGACUGUAAUCACCUGCAGGUGCCUGGGUGUGAAACAGGUCACAUCAGAAAAGCAAAAUUAGAGCAUGUUAAUCAAUAUUAAUGUUCACCCGAAGGCUAAUUCCAGCAGCCGCCUACACGAAGAGCCCAGCAGGCGUUUCCUUUCUCCACGUCCCCAGGGUUCCGGGAACCGAAGUGCAUGGAAGGUGGCAGCGGAGCUGAAGCCGUGCGAGGCCCCUGCGACCACCACGUGCCUGAAGAGCAGGGAAAGUCCGGACAAGCCCCACGGAUCACAUGGGGACUGAGCCGAGGAGCUCUGGGAUGGCUGGAACCAUCUACCUCAGCACACCAAGAACCGCAGCGCCUCCCCUCUGCCCACCCCCCCUCUCCCCAGGCAGGCCCCCCUUAGUUCUUUUGAGCACCCCCAGCACUGCCGGACUAACCCUUCUCUCCACGCACCCGUCCGUGGCGGCUGGAUGCCUGCAGAGCCAGUCCCAGCGGUGGGAUGUCAGUGCCUCGGUGCCAGCACCUUGGAAGCACAGCGAGCAGGUGAGUAACAUCGCUCUGUCACACACCGCAUCGCACCCUCUUUAAAACAGGUUUCAGCUAAUCUGGAUGUAAGAAAGAAAAAAAAAAAAAAAUUUAUUGCUGUCUGUGGCUGGCUGCUGCCGCGGCUGUUGGGUUUCCCGGCCUGCUGGGCUGGUGCCUGGGUUUUCAAGUACAUCAAACCCACCUACAGCCACGCAAUUGCACCGAGUCGCUACAAAGGAAAGCGGUUACAGCGCUGCAAGAAAGAGAAAUAAAGAGGACACCAACUGCACACACUGCUUCCUGGGAUUUUUUUUAAUUUUUAUUUUUUAUUUUAGUUUUUUUUCUUUCUUUUUUUUUUUUUUUAAGUAUGGAGGCUCAAGUAUCAGAUGUAGAUUCAAUUUAAGCUUUACAAAAAACAAAAUCAAAACAAAAACCCCUUUUUGCAUUCCAUAAAAAUUGACAGAAAAGCGCCUUGGAACCAGGCUAUAGAAGAGCAGAACUUUCAGCAGGUCUCCUAAUCAACGUCUC